rnacentral:rRNA from 1 species
CCUACGGGCGGCAGCAGUGAGGAAUAUUGGUCAAUGGUCGGGAGACUGAACCAGCCAAGCCGCGUGAGGGAGGAAGGUACAGAGUAUCGUAAACCUCUUUUGUCAGGGAACAAAGGCGGGGACGUGUCCCCGGAUGAGUGUACCUGAAGAAAAAGCAUCGGCUAACUCCGUGCCAGCAGCCGCGGUAAUACGGAGGAUGCGAGCGUUGUCCGGAUUUAUUGGGUUAAAGGGGUGCGCAGGCGGCCUGUUAAGUCAGCGGUCAAACCCCGGGGCUAACCCCCGGCCCGCCGUUGAAACUGGCAGUCUCGAGUUGGAGAGAAGUAUGCGGAAUGCGCGGUGUAGCGGUGAAAUGCAUAGAUAUCGCGCAGAACUCCGAUUGCGAAGGCAGCAUGCCGGCUCCACACUGACGCUGAGGCACGAAAGCGUGGGUAUCGAACAGGAUUAGAUACCCCUGUAGUC